UUUUGUUAACAUCAUAUUUUAAGUUUGACAUCAAAAUUCCUUAAAAAAAAAAAAAGUUUGACUUCAUAAUAUAAUAUAUAUUACAUGAUGCACUUAUUUACUAUUGAAGGAUGCACUUAUUUACUAUUGAAGAAUAACCAUGUGUCCAUCCCAUUUAGCAUGUUAUUUUCUUCAUUGAGCUCAAGGAAGGGGAGGAAGGCUGUCAAACAAAUUAAGCACAAGAAACAAUAUCAAUAACAAAAAGCAAAUAAAUUCUUAAAAACAAUUAAAGAUUAAAUUAAUACUUUAUUAACUACUCCCCCGAUUAUUUUUAUAAGAAACAAUUUAUUUUUUAGGUUCAUUGCAUUUGCAUAUUUGAUGUAUCUGGUAUAUAUUAUAUACGAUAUACGUUAAUUAUUCAAUGAACCUAAAAAAUCAACUGUUUCUUAUAAAAAAUGAUCAGAAGUAUAGUAUUUAACAAAAUAAUAAAUAAUUUAUUGUUACUUAUAAGGAAAAGAUAUUGAGAACUUACUUAUCGCAAUCCAUAUUUUUGCUUAUAGUAAAAUUUAUGUCAACACCGCAACGUUGUGGAAGUGUGGCAGCUAUGUCUUCUCUUAU
rnacentral:lncRNA from 1 species